CCUUUGAUAGCUCAGCUGGUAGAGCAGAGGACUGUAGACCUGAUAAAUGUGGACAUCCUUAGGUCGCUGGUUCGAUUCCAGCUCAAAGGA
rnacentral:tRNA from 1 species